CUGCUUUGGGAAAACACGGAGGAGCUCUCCACUGUUGUUUAAUGAAAUUGAACUUCCUACCAAUUCUGUCCUCCUCAUCUCUCUUUGCCGUCAUUAUCAUUAUCAUUCCACAUCUCCUCCUUCCUCUUCUUCGGUGCCUGGUUCUCCAUCCUCUUCUCUCAUAUCACCUUCUUCUUCAGCUCGUCGCUGUUGACGUCCUUCAAUUCCUGGAUUCUCGCCAGCCUCGCCUCCUUCCUCUGCGUAGACUUUGGGUCUUCUGGGUUAUGCUUCUUCUCUGCAGAUAGUUAAAGUCCCUGAAUUCGAUUCAGAUAAAACUCCUAGUCUCCAACCCAUGUGGGUCUUCUUCCUCACCAGCUAUUAAUACCCAAUUCCAGUCAUUUUUUUCUCUCUAUGUUGAUUUUCAAUCAAAGCUCUCAACUUUGAAACCAGCUAUUAGUUCCCAAUUGUCAUCAUUUUUCUUCUCUGUUGUUUUUCAAUCCAAAGUUUCAGUCUUUAAAUCAAAGCUCGCAACUUUGAACCAAAACCCACAUCAUGUCUAUUGCUUUGGACAGAAAUGGGAAUAGUGGGAAUGGUAUGAUCCCACGGUCCGGGAGGUUCAUCCAUGGGAUGCCUUGUAUUUCGAUCUACGACACAAAAGGGUUUGAUCAGGAUCGUCGUUUGGAGUUGGAGGAGGACUCUAGUAGCUCGAGGUCCUCGUCGGUUGGUAAUAACAGUGACGAGUCUAAUGGGUAAUCUUGAGAUAGGGAGUAUGACCAAGUUGAGGAAGCUAAACCGAACUAUGGCUCAUCGCCUGUCCAUGCUGACGACACAGGUGUCGCAGUUGGUGAAGAUCGAACGCAUUGAAACCACGGUUGCCAAGAUCGACCAGUUUGCACCUUCUAAACAAGAUAAGAGAAAGCGCUCCGAGAUUUGAUAUAUUUGGGACUUUAUACUCAUUACUUUACGAGAGUAGGAAUAUGAUUUCUUGUGAUCAUUCUCAUAGCAUUCUCUGGUUUUUUUAAUUCGAAAAACUUAUUUCCAAAUGUAGUGGUGUGAUCUAAAUAUUUAAAUAAUAGUCCAACGUCCGAGUUCUCGUGUCA